rnacentral:tRNA from 1 species
GGCCAAAUGGCGCAAUUGGGAGCGCAUUCGACUGAAGAUCGAAAGGUCCCUGGUUCGAUCCCAGGUUUGGCCA